GGUCGUUUGGCCGAGUGGUCUAAGGCGAUGGUUUUAAGCACCAUUAUCGAGAGAUGCGAGGGUUCGAACCCCUCAGCGACCA
rnacentral:tRNA from 1 species